rnacentral:rRNA from 1 species
UACAGAGGGGGCAAGCGUUGUUCGGAAUUACUGGGCGUAAAGGGCGCGUAGGCGGCCUUCUAAGUCGAACGUGAAAUCCCCGGGCUCAACCCGGGAACUGCGUCCGAUACUGGAUGGCUUGAGUUCGGGAGAGGGAUGCGGAAUUCCAGGUGUAGCGGUGAAAUGCGUAGAUAUCUGGAGGAACACCGGUUGCGAAGGCGGUCGACUGGGUCCACAUUGACGCUGAGGCUCGAAAGCAUGGGGAGCAAACAGG